ACCUUCUGUCCGAAUCAAUACAUUCGAGUCUCAUAAUCACUUGUAAAACAAAAUGGAUAAUUGAUCAAAAAUGAGAAGAAAAUUGUGACUCUUAUUUCCGGGUGGCUUGAGCCAAAUAUGUUUUAUGCAGCCUGCUUGUGAAUUGGAUGGAUUGUUGAGGUAAAACUAGGUAAACGAUCCAUUCAGUCUUUCUUUCCUAAAAGAACUAUAGUAUUAUAAAGAAUGAAACACCAGAUAAGACGUUGAACUAUUAUGUACUAGCAUAGUGGCAUCCAUUUCUAACACACACACACACA